AAGCCUGCCUAUAAACAAAGCAAAACAUCAGCAGAUGCAGUCAGAUUUUUUAGGUCCUGACUCUACAUUCAGUGAAGACUGCAUCUUUCCAUUUGCCAAGACAAAGCUGAUGAAUGUUUAUAACAUUUGUGUCUGGUGUCUAUAAAAACGGAAAAAUAAAAAAUUGGAAAAUAAAUCAGUGAUACUUUUAUUCAAGCUACUCAAAAUACUCUGUCAGCUUUGUUCUGUAGAUUCUGCAUCAAGAAUUGUCUUCACUAUGUAGUCUCAAACAUCUUGAAAAGCUUAAAUAAUAGUGCUGCUCUGAUUACUAACCAUAGAAAACUGCUGUGUCUCACCAGGAACUGAACAAGGACUCUGAGACCAGGCUGCAUACUGUCAACCGAAAUAAUUUCCUGAUUUCCAAAUUAGACAGGCAAAACAUUAAAUAAAAAGCUAGAAGAGGUCAUAGCCAAAAGACUAACACAUUCCUAGAAGCAAGAACAGGACUCACUGGCCUAAACUUAAGCAUGGAUGAGCAUCAUAAGCACCUGAGGUGCCCUCAUGGAAGAGGCAGAUAUCACCCACAGUGAAACUGUAUUGCUUCAACAUCAAGCCAGGAUGCAGUUCCAGUACUUGGUGAAACCAUAGCUGGAGAACCAGGAGAUGAAAUGAAGGAGACCACAGAUGGCCAAACAGAUGAUUAUUUUCCAUUUAACUGGGAAUAAAUUGAUGUUCCCAGCAGAAUGAGUGGCUGGAGGCACUCCUGUAUGGAGCUGUAGGAUUCUCCUGUUAAGGCUCCUGGAAUGAGUUGGGACAGGAGCACAAAGCUUUUCCAGCCUUCCAGAUGAGAUAAAAGGACUAGCUUGUCCUCCUUUUCUUCUGGGAUGUUGUUUUUUCUGUUUUCAUCGCAUUUUCUAGAAAGGUGCUAUGCAGACUUGUUCCUGGGAGGUUUUGAAGUGCUUGGUGUCAGGACUAUGGCAAGACUCUGUGUUGGUGCCAGAUUGAUAAGGGGAUAUGGAUAGAGUAGUUAACUAGCAACUCAUCUAACUGCUUGCCAGACAAACCACUGGAUCCAGAAAAACUUGAGCUCAGGGAAUCAGGACUUCUCAUGAAGCUGUAUAUUUGUAAGUAACUUUGAUGAUCAUUGUAUCUCCACAUACUGACUGAGAAUAAAAGACUUUGUUUUAUAAAUAUUUUGCCAUUUAUUUGGAUUUAAUCUUUUUUUUUUUUUAAGUUAGAGCCUACUUCUUUUAAAUACUGAACUCCUCAUUCAUUAGAAGGAACAUCUCUUGUCCUUUCACAACACAAUUUGUUCUUCAUUAUGAACAUUCCAGCUACUUUCAUGAAUGGCACAUCAAAACCUUGCUUUUGCUUCCCCUCCAGCUUAUUCAAACAGCCUGGUUAGGCACUUAUGUAGUGACAUAGUAAAUUGACUCUUUUUGUGCAAACA